CAAGUACUCCCUCCGUUCGGAAUUACUUGUCACAGAAAUGGAUGUAUCUAGAUGUAUUUUAGUUUUAGAUACAUCCAUAUUCGAGACAAGUAAUUCCGAACGAAGGGGGUAUAUG
rfam:Triticum aestivum genome assembly, contig: Triticum_aestivum_CS42_TGACv1_scaffold_571599_7AS